ACCGAUUUUCUUCCAGCCCUGCUGGUCGGCGUGAUUGGGUCCUGCGCGGCAGAUGUCUGCGAACCCCGCCAGGUUCGAGAGGAAGCAACGGUAAGGAGACCUCUCUGGGUGCCGCAGGGUAGCCUGAUCACGCUGACCAGCAGGGCUGGGCGAAAGUCGGU
rnacentral:SRP_RNA from 1 species